CGGGUGAGUAACACGUGGUCAACCUUCCCUACAGUGGGGGAUAACUAGCCGAAAGGUUAGCUAAUACCGCAUGACAUCUUCGAGAGGCAUCUUUUGAAGAUAAAAGGAGCAAUCCGCUGAAGGACGGGACCGCGUCCCAUUAGCUAGUUGGUGGGGUAAUGGCCUACCAAGGCAACGAUGGGUAGCUGGUUUGAGAGAGCGACCAGCCACACUGGGACUGAGACACGGCCCAG
rnacentral:rRNA from 1 species